UACGUAGGGGGCAAGCGUUGUCCGGAAUCAUUGGGCGUAAAGAGCGUGUAGGCGGCCAGAUAAGUCCGACGUGAAAUCCCCAGGCUUAACCUGGGAACUGCGUCGGAUACUGGAUGGCUUGAAUCCGGGAGAGGGAUGCAGAAUUCCAGGUGUAGCGGUGAAAUGCGUAGAUAUCUGGAGGAAUACCGGUGGCGAAGGCGGCAUCCUGGACCGGCAUUGACGCUGAAGCGCGAAAGCUAGGGGAGCAAACGGG
rnacentral:rRNA from 1 species